rnacentral:lncRNA from 1 species
GAGGCACCGAUCAAUGCUCCGUCAUCACCUGCAAGGCCCACCGUGGCCACAGGCUCUGGAGGCCAGUGUCU